AAAAAUCUUGUUAGUUAUUCUUUUUACUAUCCAAUCCCAUACUGUCUGCUUUUGGGUACCUCUAUACACUCUAUGCUCAGGUACCAGCACUAUGAACGAAUGUAUAUUUUGUUUUUUCUUUCAAAACAAUGGAAGAAGAAAUACGCAAAUAUUUCAAGAUUAAAUGAGGGGAACGGUAUACUUAUUAAUAUAUCGCAAAUAAAUAUUUAUUUAAAAAAAUUAUGGAGACUGAAAUUUCAUAAAAAAAAUGAUCACGAAAAAUACUAAUUUCUAUUGUUGCAUGUAGCUCUGGAAAUAUUGUAACUUUAUCCUCAGGGGAUUUUUCAUUUAAUAAUAAACAAAUCAAAUAUUUAGGUGAUUAAAUUUAGCUGGUUCAGCUUGUAUGUAACCAAAAUAAUUUUGAUUUAUAUUAAAUAAUGUAUGUGGUUUACAUUUACACUAUGUAACUAAAUAAAAUAUUUAAAACAUCAAAAAUUUAU